GUUCAGUUAAAAAACAGCUCAGCGCUUAACAAUGGCUUGAACAUCCUAAAG
rnacentral:sRNA from 1 species